rnacentral:rRNA from 1 species
AAUAUUGGACAAUGGGCGAAAGCCUGAUCCAGCCAUGCCGCGUGGAUGAUGACGGCCCUCGGGUUGUAAAGUCCUUUCGAUGGGGAAGAUAAUGACGGGACCCGUAGAAGAAGCCCCUGCCAACCUCGUACCAUCAGCCGCUGUAUAACGAAGGGGGCUAGCGUUGCUCGGAAUCACUGGGCGUAAAGCGCACGUAGGCGGCUUUUUACGUCAGGGGUGAAAUCCUGGAGGUCAACUCCAGAACUGCCUUUGAUACUGGAGAGCUUGAGUUCGGGAGAGGUGAGUGGAACUGCGAGUGUAGAGGUGAAAUUCGUAGAUAUUCGCAAGAACACCAGUGGCGAAGGCGGCUCACUGGCCCGAUACUGACGCUGAGGUGCGAAAGCGUGGGGAGCAAACAGG